rnacentral:rRNA from 2 species
GGAGCAACGCCGCGUGAGUGAAGAAGGCUUUCGGGUCGUAAAACUCUGUUGUUGGAGAAGAAUGGUCGGCAGAGUAACUGUUGUCGGCGUGACGGUAUCCAACCAGAAAGCCACGGCUAACUACGUGCCAGCAGCCGCGGUAAUACGUAGGUGGCAAGCGUUAUCCGGAUUUAUUGGGCGUAAAGCGAGCGCAGGCGGUUUUUUAAGUCUGAUGUGAAAGCCCUCGGCUUAACCGAGGAUGCGCGUCGGAAACUGGGAAACUUGAGUGCAGAAGAGGACAGUGGAACUCCAUGUGUAGCGGUGAAAUGCGUAGAUAUAUGGAAGAACACCAGUGGCGAAGGCGGCUGUUCUGGUCUGUAACUGACGCUGAGGCUCGAAAAGCAUGGGUAGCGAACAGGAUUAGAUACCCUGGUAUUCCAUGCCGUAAACGAUGAAUGCCAGGUGUUGGAGGGUUUCCGCCCUUCAGUGCCGCAGCUAACGCUUUAAGCAUUCCGCCUGGGGAGUACGACCGCAAGGUUGAAACUCAAAGGAAUUGACGGGGGCCCGCACAAGCG